rfam:Felis catus isolate Cinnamon breed Abyssinian chromosome X, whole genome shotgun sequence.
GCCUGGGUGGCUCAGUCAGUUGGGUGUCUGACUUUGGCUCAGGUCAUGAUCUCGCGGUUUGUGAGUUCGAGCCCCACAUCGGGCU